rnacentral:rRNA from 1 species
UUGGAGGGCAAGUCUGGUGCCAGCAGCCGCGGUAAUUCCAGCUCCAAUAGCGUAUAUUAAAGUUGUUGCAGUUAAAAAGCUCGUAGUUGAAUUUCGAGACCGGUCUACUGGUCGUGCUUUUGUACGUACUGGUUUUAUUGGUUUCUCCUUUCUGACGAACUAUAAUGCCAUUAAUUUGGUGUUAUGGGGAAUCAGGACUGUCACUUUGAAAAAAUUAGAGUGUUUAAAGCAGGCUCACGCUUGAAUACAUUAGCAUGGAAUAACGGAAUAGGACGUUUGAUUCUAUUUUGUUGGUUUCUAGGAUCGACGUAAUGAUUAAUAGGGAUAGUUGGGGGCAUUAGUAUUCAAUUGUCAGAGGUGAAAUUCUUGGAUUUAUUGAAGACUAACUACUGCGAAAGCAUUUGCCAAGGAUGUUUUCAUUAAUCAAGAACGAAAGUUAGGGGAUCGAAGACGAUCAGAUACCGUCGUAGUCUUAACCAUAAACUAUGCCGACUAGGGAUCGGAUGAUGUUAAUUUUUUAAUGACUCAUUCGGCGCCUUACGGGAAAC